UACGUAUGGUGCAAGCGUUAUCCGGAUUUACUGGGUGUAAAGGGAGCGCAGGCGGCGCGGCAAGUCUGAUGUGAAAAUCCGGGGCCCAACCCCGGAACUGCAUUGGAAACUGUAUUUCUAGAGUGUCGGAGAGGCAAGUGGAAUUCCUGGUGUAGCGGUGAAAUGCGUAGAUAUCAGGAGGAACACCAGUGGCGAAGGCGGCUUGCUGGACGAUGACUGACGUUGAGGCUCGAAAGCGUGGGGAGCAAACAGG
rnacentral:rRNA from 1 species